rnacentral:rRNA from 1 species
UUCCGGUUGAUCCUGCCAGAGGUCACUGCUAUCGGGGUUCGAUUAAGCCAUGCGAGUCGAGAGGGUUCGGCCCUCGGCGUACUGCUCAGUAACACGUGGAUAACCUGCCCUAGGGGAGGGGAUAACCCCGGGAAACUGGGGAUAAUACCCUAUAGGUUACAGAUGCUGGAAUGCCCUGUAACCAAAAGCUCCGGCGCCCUAGGAUGGAUCUGCGGCCGAUUAGGUUGUUGUUGGGGUAACGGCCCAACAAGCCCGUAAUCGGUACGGGUUGUGGGAGCAAGAGCCCGGAGUUGGAUUCUGAGACACGAAUCCAGGCCCUACGGGGCGCAGCAGGCGCGAAACCUUUACAAUGCGGGCAACCGUGAUAAGGGAACCUCGAGUGCCUGUAAACGCAGGCUGUUCAGGUGUUUAAAACGCACCUGGAGAAAGGGCCGGGCAAGACCGGUGCCAGCCGCCGCGGUAAUACCGGCGGCUCGAGUGGUGGCCGCUUUUAUUGGGCUUAAAGCGUUCGUAGCUGGGUUGUUAAGUCUCUUGGGAAAUCUGGCGGCUUAACCGUCAGGCGUCUAAGGGAUACUGGCAAUCUUGGAACCGGGAGAGGUGAGGGGUACUUCGGGGGUAGGGGUGAAAUCCUGUAAUCCUCGAGGGACCACCUGUGGCGAAGGCGCCUCACCAGAACGGCUUCGACAGUGAGGGACGAAAGCUGGGGGAGCAAACCGGAUUAGAUACCCGGGUAGUCCCAGCCGUAAACGAUGCGCGUUAGGUGUAUCGGUGACCACGAGUUACCGAGGUGCCGAAGGGAAACCGUGAAACGCGCCGCCUGGGAAGUACGGUCGCAAGGCUGAAACUUAAAGGAAUUGGCGGGGGAGCACCACAUCGG